rnacentral:rRNA from 1 species
CCCUUAGAUGUUCUGGGCCGCACGCGCGCUACACUGAUGAAUUCAACGAGCUCCUAACCUAGGCCGAAGGGUCCGGGUAAUCUUUGAAAUUUCAUCGUGAUGGGGAUAGAUUAUUGCAAUUAUUAAUCUUCAACGAGGAAUUCCUAGUAGGCGCGAGUCAUCAGCUCGCGUUGAUUACGUCCCUGCCCUUUGUACACACCGCCCGUCGCUCCUACCGAUUGAAUGGUCCGGUGAAAUGUUCGGACCGCGACAAGGCGGACGGUUCGCUGUCAGCUUUGCUGCGGGAAGUUCAUUAAACCUUAUCAUUUAGAGGAAGGAGAAGUCGUAACA